GAUGAACGCUGGCGGCGUGCCUAAUACAUGCAAGUCGAGCGAACGGACGAGAAGCUUGCUUCUCUGAUGUUAGCGGCGGGCGGGUGAGUAACACGUGGAUAACCUACCUAUAAGACUGGGAUAACUUCGGGAAACCGGAGCUAAUACCGGAUGAUAUUUUGAACCGCAUGGUUCAAAAGUGAAAGACGGUCUUGCUGUCACUUAUAGAUGGAUCCGCGCUGCAUUAGCUAGUUGGUAAGGUAACGGCUUACCAAGGCAACGAUGCAUAGCCGACCUGAGAGGGUGAUCGGCCACACUGGAACUGAGACACGGUCCAGACUCCUACGGGAGGCAGCAGUAGGGAAUCUUCCGCAUUGGGCGAAAGCCUGACGGAGCAACGCCGCGUGAGUGAUGAAGGUCUUCGGAUCGUAAAACUCUGUUAUUAGGGAAGAACAUAUGUGUAAGUAACUGUGCACAUCUUGACGGUACCUAAUCAGAAAGCCACGGCUAACUACGUG
rnacentral:rRNA from 1 species